UUUCCGUAGGUGAACCUGCGGAAGGAUCAUUCAUAAUAAGUGUUUUAUGGCACUUUUUUAAAUCCAUAUCCACCUUGUGUGCAAUGUCAGGGUUGGUCUCUUUUUGAUCAGCCCAAACAUCAACUAUUAUCUCAACUCUUUGUCUGAAAAAUAUUAUGAAUAAAACAAUUCAAAAUACAACUUUCAACAACGGAUCUCUUGGCUCUC
rnacentral:misc_RNA from 1 species